rnacentral:rRNA from 1 species
GAUGAACGCUGGCGGCGUGCCUAGUACAUGCAAGUCGAGCGAACAGAUAAGGAGCUUGCUCCUUUGACGUUAGCGGCGGACGGGUGAGUAACACGUGGGUAACCUACCUAUAAGACUGGGAUAACUUCGGGAAACCGGAGCUAAUACCGGAUAACAUUUGGAACCGCAUGGUUCUAAAGUGAAAGAUGGUUUUGCUAUCACUUAUAGAUGGACCCGCGCCGUAUUAGCUAGUUGGUAAGGUAACGGCUUACCAAGGCGACGAUACGUAGCCGACCUGAGAGGGUGAUCGGCCACACUGGAACUGAGACACGGUCCAGACUCCUACGGGAGGCAGCAGUAGGGAAUCUUCCGCAAUGGGCGAAAGCCUGACGGAGCAACGCCGCGUGAGUGAUGAAGGGUUUCGGCUCGUAAAACUCUGUUAUUAGGGAAGAACAAACGUGUAAGUAACUGUGCACGUCUUGACGGUACCUAAUCAGAAAGCCACGGCUAACUACGUG